rnacentral:rRNA from 1 species
CCCUUAGAUGUUCUGGGCCGCACGCGCGCUACACUGACGAAUGCAACGAGCUUAUAACCUUGGCCGAAAGGUCUGGGUAAUCUCCAAAUUUCGUCGUGAUGGGGAUAGAUUAUUGCAAUUAUUAAUCUUCAACGAGGAAUGCCUAGUAAGCGCGAGUCAUCAGCUCGCGCUGAUUACGUCCCUGCCCUUUGUACACACCGCCCGUCGCUACUACCGAUUGGAUGGUUUAGCGAGAACUUUGGACCGGAGCUCGGGUGGUCAGCAAUGGCCGCCCGAGACAUACUGGGAAAUCGCUCCAGCUUGAUCAUCUAGAGGAAGUAAAAGUCGUAACA